rnacentral:rRNA from 1 species
UACGUAGGUGGCAAGCGUUGUCCGGAUUUACGGGGCGUAAAGAGCGCGCAGGCGGUCGUUCAAGUCGCGUGUGAAAGCCCCCGGCUCAACUGGGGAGGGUCACGCGAUACUGAUCGACUGGAAGGCAGGAGAGGGUAGUGGAAUUCCCGGUGUAGUGGUGAAAUGCGUAGAUAUCGGGAGGAACACCAGUGGCGAAGGCGACUACCUGGCCUGUUCUUGACGCUGAGGCGCGAAAGCUAGGGGAGCAAACGGG